rnacentral:rRNA from 1 species
GACGCCUUUUGGCGGCGUGCUUAACACAUGCAAGUCGAACGGAAAGGCCCUGCUUUUGUGGGGUGCUCGAGUGGCGAACGGGUGAGUAACACGUGAGUAACCUGCCCUUGACUUUGGGAUAACUUCAGGAAACUGGGGCUAAUACCGGAUAGGAGCUCCUGCUGCAUGGUGGGGGUUGGAAAGUUUCGGCGGUUGGGGAUGGACUCGCGGCUUAUCAGCUUGUUGGUGGGGUAGUGGCUUACCAAGGCUUUGACGGGUAGCCGGCCUGAGAGGGUGACCGGCCACAUUGGGACUGAGAUACGGCCCAGACUCCUACGGGAGGCAGCAGUGGGGAAUAUUGCACAAUGGGCGGAAGCCUGAUGCAGCAACGCCGCGUGCGGGAUGACGGCCUUCGGGUUGUAAACCGCUUUCGCCUGUGACGAAGCGUGAGUGACGGUAAUGGGUAAAGAAGCACCGGCUAACUACGUGCCAGCAGCCGCGGUGAUACGUAGGGUGCGAGCGUUGUCCGGAUUUAUUGGGCGUAAAGGGCUCGUAGGUGGUUGAUCGCGUCGGAAGUGUAAUCUUGGGGCUUAACCCCUGAGCGUGCUUUCGAUACGGGUUGACUUGAGGAAGGUAGGGGAGAAUGGGAUUCCUGGUGGAGCGGUGGAAUGCGCAGAUAUCAGGAGGAACACCAGUGGCGAAGGCGGUUCUCUGGGCCUUUCCUGACGCUGAGGAGCGAAAGCGUGGGGAGCGAACAGGCUUAGAUACCCUGGUAGUCCACGCUGUAAACGGUGGGUACUAGGUGUGGGGUCCAUUCCACGGGUUCCGUGCCGUAGCUAACGCUUUAAGUACCCCGCCUGGGGAGUACGGCCGCAAGGCUAAAACUCAAAGGAAUUGACGGGGCCCCGCACAAGCGGCGGAGCAUGCGGAUUAAUUCGAUGCAACGCGUAGAACCUUACCUGGGUUUGACAUGGAUCGGGAGUGCUCAGAGAUGGGUGUGCCUCUUUUGGGGUCGGUUCACAGGUGGUGCAUGCCUGUCGUCAGCUCGUGUCGUGAGAUGUUGGGUUAAGUCCCGCAACGAGCGCAACCCUUGUUCACUGUUGCCAGCACGUUAUGGUGGGGACUCAGUGGAGACCGCCGGGGUCAACUCGGUGGAAGGUGGGGAUGACGUCAAGUCAUCAUGCCCCUUAUGUCCAGGGCUUCACGCAUGCUACAAUGGCUGGUACAGAGAGUGGCGAGCCUGUGAGGGUGAGCGAAUCUCGGAAAGCCGGUCUCAGUUCGGAUUGGGGUCUGCAACUCGACCUCAUGAAGUCGGAGUCGCUAGUAAUCGCAGAAAGGCAACGCUGCGGUGAAUACGUUCCCGGGGCU